rnacentral:lncRNA from 1 species
UCACAUAUUAGCUCUAGUGUCGUGCUUAUUCUUGCAUAGGCAUAGGAUGAAUGACUCUUGAUUCAUAGAGUAUAAAUUGAUGAUAAAAAUGAGAAUAUCAAAAAAUUUGAAAGUAUGAUUUAUUUUUAUCAAUUUUAACUUCCAAUAAGCGAUCCCAGAGUUUUGGGUAACAAAAUUUCCAUUGUGUUUGAAAGAUUAAUUAAAAACACUUCAAUUAGUCUCUUGGCAAAACCUCUCUCUUGGAUUUGAAAUUC